CAUUGUCUAGAUUAGCGGAACUAGGGGGAUGCAGCUCUUGGAAGAUUCCAAGGGUAACAGGGAAAUGGUUUGGGAGUGAGAGCCAGCUGCCUGAUGAGAAAACUGUCCAUUAACAUGCAAAUUUCUGGCUUCAUAGCCUUAAACAGGGACACAGUGAUUGCCUUCCCCACAGUUUGAAGACAAGGCAAAAAACUUCCUAGUAGUUGUAACCGGUUAGGCUUAAAUGAGAAAAAGAAGAGAGAAAGAAUGAUGGUACUGAAACAUAUAUUUUCAUGACAGCAAAUCUUUAGACCUUUACAGAAGCCCCUUUAACUAGAAAGCGAUUGUUCCAUUUGAGAAUAGAGCUCACCGAUGGUGUCGUUGUGAACUGAACGCCAUGCAGCGUCAGCGCUGAGGCUUGGAGGGCUCCUCAGUAAUAACAAGCUAUUUCAGACUGGGGACCCUGAGGCCGAAGAGUGGAAUUGUAUUUUUUUCCCAACAGGUACAACUUCAUUAACUUGGAAUCUAAAGCUAAAUAUUUGGUUUCACUUUGCUUCUUCUAGCUGUGCUGUCUCCACUAACCAGUCCAUCAGGUGCCCAGAACUGUUGGUAGAACCUCAGACGUCACCCUCCAUCCCACCGCUCAUGGUCUACCACGGCCGUUGCGUGAUUACAGUGUGCAGAACAUGACGGCAUUUUGGUCAGCUGUGAUCUCAGAUGGAACUGUAAAAUGCCCCUUUGUAAGCUGCUGUAACACCUACACCACUGCAUUAUUCCCAUGUUUGUGGUGUUGCUGGUGUGAAUGCCUCCCCUGUGAGGUUGGUCCUCUACAGUUGGGUACAGUGCAUAACCAUCAUAACGGACAAUGUCACUGGUUUAUGUGUUUAUCAUCCUGUAUUUCCAUCUGCAUCUUAGAGCACACUCCUCCUUCUCAGUACCAGCUGUGUUCCUCCUGUAGCUCGUACUCCCGUUCUCUCCGUUGUAUCCAAGAAGCUUCAUCAAGAAACUGGCUCACACCAUCUAGGACUGCGUGGGAACCCCCUGUGACACUGCACAGCAACACCUACCUCUGUGUUUCCCAAAGCCUGUAGCUCUGCUAUGAAGCCACACUGGACAGUAAUGAGAACUACGUCCUGUGGACACUUCUCACUCAAAGUAAACUUGUGUUUUGAUGGUCCGACAAUGACAUCCAUUACAGCGGAGCUGAGUCUGACUCGGAUAUUAGGAUUUAAACAGCAUUUAGGGUGAAUACUCUGCAUAGUAAAAUUGCCCUUAGAAAUCCAUUAAGUUGGACAUAAAGUGCAGCGUAAAUGGACUUGAAUGUACAACAUCACAACAGUAAAAUACAUGCAUGAAAAGUAGGUACCUGGAAGCUAGAAUCGGGCUCUGCACACCCCACGUUCAAGAGCGAUGCCCAGAGACUGACACCCAUUGCCGGCCGGCAGAGCUAAUUCAGGUGCUCCUGCCGGUACCUCACCUGGUCACAUUCGCGUCACGAAAGAGCGGGCAGGCACUUAUGUUUUUGACUUUCUCCUCCUGCUGUUGUCUCUCCAGAUGUUUGCAUCUAGCGUGUUAGAAGCUAAACACACAGGUGACGUGACUUGGUGGUGACUGAGGUUAGCUGUGUAUUCACAAAGGAUGCUUCCGGGGGAGGCUGCUGCAGGGACUGUGUUCAAACGACCGCUCUUGUCUGCCAAGGAGCCUGUGCUGAGCACCCGUGUUCCUGGCUGGAGCUGUCCUAACCCUCACCACUCAUCAGAUUCAAACACUGGAAACGUUCAGCUCUGCCCUAAAGAUCCAGUCAGUCCUUAAAAGAAAAACAUUGUGGUGCACUUAAGGCAAAUGGAAACAGUGUGGUAAAUACACAAAUGUGGAUAGUU